rnacentral:rRNA from 1 species
GACGAACGCUGGCGGCGUGCUUAACACAUGCAAGUCGAACGGAAAGGCCCUGCUUUUGUGGGGUGCUCGAGUGGCGAACGGGUGAGUAACACGUGAGUAACCUGCCCUUGACUUUGGGAUAACUUCAGGAAACUGGGGCUAAUACCGGAUAGGAGCUCCUGCUGCAUGGUGGGGGUUGGAAAGUUUCGGCGGUUGGGGAUGGACUCGCGGCUUAUCAGCUUGUUGGUGGGGUAGUGGCUUACCAAGGCUUUGACGGGUAGCCGGCCUGAGAGGGUGACCGGCCACAUUGGGACUGAGAUACGGCCCAGACUCCUACGGGAGGCAGCAGUGGGGAAUAUUGCACAAUGGGCGGAAGCCGGAUGCAGCAACGCCGCGUGCGGGAUGACGGCCUUCGGGUUGUAAACCGCUUUCGCCUGUGACGAAGCGUGAGUGACGGUAAUGGGUAAAGAAGCACCGGCUAACUACGCG